rnacentral:ncRNA from 2 species
UUCUUAUCAAGAGAAGCCGAGGGACUGGCCCGACGACGCUUCAGCAACCGGUGUAAUGGUUUAUGAAAACCAUGACCAAGGUGCUAAAUCCAGCAAGCUUACAAAACAGCUUGGAAGAUAAGAA